CCCAAUUGUAAUUAGUCUUUGUUUGUCCCCUUUUGCUUUUGACCUCUCGUGGUCCUUUUUGUUUUUUGUAGUGUUCCUUGUGUUUUCAGUUUGGCACGUUGGCCCUGUUUGUGGAGGGUCCCCAUUUCCUUCCUAUCUGCCUGCACCAUGCCUCGUCCUCGUGCCCGAACCACCCGAGUUUGUAACAACGUGGAAAUCCCAAAUUUCGUUCCAACCUUUUAAAGAAAGCUCUUGUCAGGUGAAACCCCAUUAUUUCCCAAGUUAAACCAAGACCUCGUGUGCCUCACUCCAGCUGUCCCUCAUCUGCUCCCUCAUUAGUGAUGUAUAAAGUGCCUCCCGGUUUUGAGCUCCCCCAGUCCAGUCAUUGAUGUUGCUGCCUGCUUUGUGCUCCUGAGGGUGUCCUGCGCCUUGGUCUCCUGGCUGAUCCUCAUUUCACUGUGUUGACCCCUUGUGUACCUUUUGAUUUUGCCUUGUCUGCGUUGUGCUUUCUUUUAAUAAAGCCCCUUUUUGCUUU